UAGGGAAUCUUCGGCAAUGGACGGAAGUCUGACCGAGCAACGCCGCGUGAGUGAAGAAGGUUUUCGGAUCGUAAAGCUCUGUUGUAAGAGAAGAACGAGUGUGAGAGUGGAAAGUUCACACUGUGACGGUAUCUUACCAGAAAGGGACGGCUAACUACGUGCCAGCAGCCGCGGUAAUACGUAGGUCCCGAGCGUUGUCCGGAUUUAUUGGGCGUAAAGCGAGCGCAGGCGGUUAGAUAAGUCUGAAGUUAAAGGCUGUGGCUUAACCAUAGUACGCUUUGGAAACUGUUUAACUUGAGUGCAAGAGGGGAGAGUGGAAUUCCAUGUGUAGCGGUGAAAUGCGUAGAUAUAUGGAGGAACACCGGUGGCGAAAGCGGCUCUCUGGCUUGUAACUGACGCUGAGGCUCGAAAGCGUGGGGAGCAAACAGGAUUAGAUACCCUGGUAGUCCACGCCGUANCGAUGAGUGCUAGGUGUUAGACCCUUUCCGGGGUUUAGUGCCGCAGCUAACGCAUUAAGCACUCCGCCUGGGGAGUACGACCGCAAGGUU
rnacentral:rRNA from 1 species